UAUCAAACUUGAUAUUCAAGUCACAGAC
rnacentral:piRNA from 1 species